rnacentral:miRNA from 4 species
AGGUCCUCAAUAAGUAUUUGUU